rnacentral:rRNA from 1 species
GGAAUAUUGGGCAAUGGUCGCAAGACUGACCCAGCCAUGCCGCGUGCAGGAAGACGGCCCUCUGGGUUGUAAACUGCUUUUAUCUGGGAAGAAAAAGUCCAUGCGUGGAAAAUUGCCGGUACCAGAUGAAUAAGCACCGGCUAACUCCGUGCCAGCAGCCGCGGUAAUACGGAGGGUGCAAGCGUUGUCCGGAUUUAUUGGGUUUAAAGGGUGCGUAGGCGGCUGAAUAAGUCAGCGGUGAAAGACUUCGGCUUAACCGGAGCAGUGCCGUUGAUACUGUUUAGCUUGAGUGUUGGAGGGGUACAUGGAAUUGAUGGUGUAGCGGUGAAAUGCAUAGAUACCAUCAGGAACACCGAUAGCGAAGGCAUUGUACUGGCCAACAACUGACGCUGAGGCACGAAAGUGUGGGGAUCGAACAGGAUUAGAUACCCUGGUAGUCCACACCGUAAACGAUGAUUACUCGCUGUUAUGGUGUAUGCUGUAGCGGCCAAGCGAAAGCGUUAAGUAAUCCACCUGGGGAGUACGCCGGCAACGGUGAAACUCAAAUGAAUUGACGG